CCAUUUAUUGAUAUUCUCUGAGGUUAUAAAAGGGCAAGGAUGAGGAUGUAUGAUGUUGUUCUUGGACUUGUGAUGCAAUGUGUGCACUACAGGGCAGAAUAAUCCCUGCACCAUUGCAGGGGGGCUGGGUAGUCCAUCCCAGCUCCCCAAAACUUUGAUACCUCUGAAGCACUGGAUUACUCUUUCAGCUCCUUGACAUCAGGAUUUUUGAUUGUUUACACCUGAAGGAGGCCCAUGUUCAAGCAUAAGUGGAUAUUAUAUUUCCUAUGGAUGUAUUUUUGAGGCAGUCAAUGUACUUCAGGGCAGAAUAAUCCCAGCACCACUGUAGGGGGCUGGGUAGUCCACACCAGCUCCCGUGAAGAAAGAAACCUUUUCAGAAUCACAACAUGAAAGUGUUGGCCUUCCAACACUGCUGGCCUUAAGAAGCUAUUGACAGAGAUCCACCUGCUAGAGGCCUGAGACACAGACUGCCUUACGGCAGCAGAGAGGAGAUCAUCUGAGAACCUCUUCUCCAAGAGUGAAUGUUGUCCAGGAUUCCUCCACUGAGAAUCUCCAUGAUGCUGAAGAUAGAGGCCCCUAUCCAAAAGUGUCAGCGCUAUCAGCUCAUCACUGUUUUGGAGAUGAGUACUUCACCCCAACUCACCGAAAGGGAGAAACCUCCUCAGAUUCACAACUUGAACAAUGUUGGCCUUCCAACACUGCUGGCCUUGAGGAAACUAUGGACACAGAUGCAGCUACAGGUCUGGGACAGCAUUAUGAGGGCAGUAAGAUAUUGGCAGAACAGACCAUCUGCUGAAGGUUGGAACCUUGGACCAUCCUAAGUUUUUCUCCCCCAAAUGAAUCUUCCUGGUCAUCCAGGACUGCUCUACUAAGAAUCCAUGCUGCUGCGGAUAGUGGCUGUAGACUAUCAUUGUGAGCACCAUCAGUUUCAGUGAGGAGCUUCUGGUGCACAUCCAUCACUGGCUGCAUUAGGGCUUUCACCCCACUUCAUGGAUGCAGUUGCCUUUCACAUAUGGAAGUACAAAAUUUCAGUGGCUGGAUUCAUUGAGCAACAGGUGCAUUCUGGGGCAGAAUAAUCCCCGCACCUUUGCAGGGGGGCUGGGUAGUCCACCCCAGCUCCCCAAACCAUUACACCCGAAAUGCUGGAUUAUUACUCUUGCACUUUUUCAUACCUGGAUUUAUUGCUAUUUCACUGAGGGAUAUAAAUAUUCAAGGAUAAGGAUCUAUGUAGUUGAGUCUGUAAAGCAAUGUGUGCACUACAGGGCAGAAUAAUCCCUGCACCAUUGCAGGGGGCUGGGUAGUCCACCCCAGCUCCCCAAAACAUUGAUACAUCUGAAGCGCUGGAUUACCCUUUCAGUUCCUUGACACAUGGAUAUUUGGUUGAUAACGCUUACUGAGGGAGGUCCAUGUUCAAGCAUAAGUGGAUAUUAUUUUUAUAUGGAUAUUUUUGACGCAGUGUGUGCACUUCAGGGCAGAAUAAUCCCUGCACCAUUGUAGGAGGGCUGGGUAGUCCACCCCAGCUCCCCGAAUCUAUAGAUACAUUUAAAACACUGGAUUAUUUCACACAUUAUAAUGUCUGCAUUUUUGCCAUUUAUUGAUAUUCUCUGAGGUUAUAAAAGGGCAAGGAUGAGGAUGUAUGAUGUUGUGCUUGGACUUGUGAUGCAAUGUGUGCACUACAGGGCAGAAUAAUCCCUGCACCAUUGCAGGGGGGCUGGGUAGUCCACCCCAGCUCCCCACCCUAUCAUAAUUCCAAGGAUUUACUCUCCUUUAACACACUCUGUGAGAUUGCCACAUUCUAUUAUUGCUAAAAAAUAAAUUUACUUGUUGGACCUGUU